CUCACCCUAAACCUAGCUUCAUGUCCACAUCAUUGAUCAGCCCUCACCCUAAACCUAGCUUCAUGUCCACAUCAUUGAUCAGCCCUAACCCUAGCUAUUAUUCUAACUAAGCCUACAUUUUAUUUUGACCCUAGUUUUGUGUGGGACGUGGUGUGUAUCUACUACGACAGUGACGACACAGUACAGAAGGAUGAGGAGAUCCAGGCAUUCGUUAAAGAUGUCUGCAGCUUUGGGAUGCAGGACCUUGAUUGCUGUGAGUUUCCCAAAUCCCUGAAGACACGUGAGGAUCUCACAGAGUACCUGACUGUCAUCAUCUUCACUGCCUCUGCUCACCAUGCUGCUGUCAACUUCGGACAGUAUGACUGGUGCUCGUGGAUCCCCAAUGCGCCCCCCACCAUGCGGAAGCCUCCUCCCACACAAAAGGGGUGGUAGAUGUGAAGUUCAUCAUCGAGAGUCUCCCUGACCGCGGCCGGUCCUGCUGGCACCUAGGGGCUGUCUGGGCCCUUAGUCAGUUCCAGGAGAAUGAACUGUUCCUGGGGAUGUACCCAGAUGAGCACUUCAUAGAGAAGCCUGUGAAGGAGGCCAUGGAAUCAUUCAGGAAGAGACUGGCAGAGGUCAGCAGUGCCAUCAAGAUCCGCAACGAAGGCAAGAAACUACCCUACUACUACUUCUCUCCUGACCGCAUCCCUAACAGUGUGGCUGUCUGAGAGAGGGAUGGAGGAGGGUGAGAGGAAGGAUGGGAGCGAGGGACUGAGGGAGAGGGAGAUAUUGUGAACAGUGAUUUAUGGUGUUGUUUCUUACAUACUGUGCUGUAUGUAUAUUGUACUAUGAUAAGCACAUACCCACUGAUGCAAUUCAACUUUUUUGCCAGCGAUUUUUACAAACAGAAAGUGAAUCAUCAUUGUUGUACAAUUCAAAUGUCAAAUAAAAAUUCUCAAAAUGUG